AUUGAACGCUGGCGGCAGGCCUAACACAUGCAAGUCGAGCGGAUGAAGGGAGCUUGCUCCUGGAUUCAGCGGCGGACGGGUGAGUAAUGCCUAGGAAUCUGCCUGGUAGUGGGGGAUAACGUCCGGAAACGGGCGCUAAUACCGCAUACGUCCUGAGGGAGAAAGUGGGGGAUCUUCGGACCUCACGCUAUCAGAUGAGCCUAGGUCGGAUUAGCUAGUUGGUGGGGUAAAGGCCUACCAAGGCGACGAUCCGUAACUGGUCUGAGAGGAUGAUCAGUCACACUGGAACUGAGACACGGACCAGACUCCUACGGGAGGCAGCAGUGGGGAAUAUUGGACAAUGGGCGAAAGCCUGAUCCAGCCAGGCCGCGUGUGUGAAGAAGGUCUUCGGAUUGUAAAGCACUUUAAGUUGGGAGGAAGGGCAGUAAGUUAAUACCUUGCUGUUUUGACGUUACCAACAGAAUAAGCACCGGCUAACUUCGUG
rnacentral:rRNA from 1 species